UACGUAGGGGCUAGCGUUGUCCGGAAUCAUUGGGCGUAAAGAGCGUGUAGGCGGCCCGGUAAGUCCGCUGUGAAAGUCGGGGGCUCAACCCUCGAAUGCCGGUGGAUACUGUCGGGCUAGAGUGCGGAAGAGGCGAGUGGAAGUUCUGGUGUAGCGGUGAAAUGACGCAGAUAUCAGGAGGAACACCGAUUGCGAAGGCAGCUCGCUGGGACGUAACUGACGCUGAGACGCGAAAGCGUGGGGAGCGAACAGG
rnacentral:rRNA from 1 species